UCCGGAUGGACGCCGAAUCCUGCCGCCGUCCGGUUUCCACACACUCACCCGUGAAACGGCAGGAGCGGGGGAUCCACAGGCAGUACGCCGUUUCCCCGGUUCAAGGGGACGGCUCGGGGUGAAGCCGCGCGAGCGCGGCGGGGCAUCUCCAGCCCUAACCCGACAGCUCACCUCGCAGGCGCCGGAGAGGAAUC
rnacentral:sRNA from 2 species